rnacentral:rRNA from 1 species
AUGAUAAUUAUGGAUGGGCUCCCGUUUGCAUUUUCCGAGAAAUCAGGAUUUAGAGAGUUUUUCAAUGAAUCUUGUGAUAGGGUCAGCUUAACAACCGACACCUGGACAUCUAUGCAACAGCAGAGCUAUAUGUGUGUUACGGCUCAUUUCCUUGAUACCGAUUGGAGGCUACAUAAGAGGAUUAUUCGGUUAUUCUUGGUCUGUGGUCAUAAGGGGGAAGACAUUGGGAAGGACAUCCAGACGUGUUUGGUGGAUUGGGGUUUAGAGAAAGCGUUCACAAUAACUGUUGACGAUCCAUCAGCAGACGAUGGUGCUGUAAGUUACAUGAGGAGGUCAAUGAAAGAUGCUAAAAGUAGCAUAGCAAAAGGACAAUAUGUUCACAUGAGAUGUGCAGCCCAUGUCAUAAACAUGAUAGUUUUGGAUUGCCCAAGAGAAUUGGAUAUCCCAGUGCAACGAGUCCUUGUUGCUGUCCAUUUUAUCAGAAAUUUUCUAUCUAGAAUUACUCAAUUUAAGAAGUGUGCUGACUUGGAGAAGGUGGACAGCAAAGCAUCCUUAUCACUUGUUGUAUGCAUCAGAUGGAACUCCACAUACCUAAUGUUCAAAGCUGCAGCCACAUAUCAGAAGGUGUUUGAUAGGUAUGGUGAUGAUGACCCUUACUUUGCAAUUGAGUUAAAUAGUGAGAAAGCACCAGGAGUUCCUGAAGCUGUAGAUUGGGAAUAUGCAAGGAAGAUUUCAGAGUUUCUUGAGCAUUUUUAUAACCUCAUUGUUCUUCGGUCCAAGCACUCAUUUGUACUCAGGAAUGGAUGUGGUCAGCUCCUGUAA